rnacentral:tRNA from 1 species
ACCGCGAUAGCUCAGCUUGUAGAGCAUCUGCUCUGUAAGCGGAGGGCCGCCGGUUCGAUUCCGGUUCGCGGAA